rnacentral:rRNA from 1 species
UACGUAGGGUGCGAGCGUUAAUCGGAAUUACUGGGCGUAAAGAGUGCGUAGGCGGUUCUUGUGUCCGCUGUGAAAGCCCCGGGCUUAACCUGGGAAUGGCAGUGGAAACUAGAGAACUUGAAUCUGGCAGAGGGGGUGGAAUUCCGGCGUGUAGCAGUGAAAUGCGUAGAUAUGCGGAGGAACACCGAUGGCGAAGGCAAUCCCCUGGACCUGUACUGACGCUCAUGCACGAAAGCGUGGGGAGCAAACGAGG